GGUUCGACAGGAGAUCUGCACCACUAACGCGAUGAGCGUGAGAACCAGUCCCAAACACACUCCACACACAAAAUACAGUGCCGCCCGUUCCGGCUGAUCUGCAGAAACAGUUCAGGUGAACGAAAGUCAUACAGGUCUGGAACAACAUGACCAUUCAGUUGGAAGUCACUGGCCACUAUACUUAUUUCAACUCAGACCUGUUUGAAUCCUUUGCGUCCAGGCUGUUUCACUGAACAAUGCCACCCAGUGUGUGUUCAGGCCCACUGGCCCCACGGUUACUGCUCUAGGAGACAGGAGCUGACACAAAGCAGCUGUCUGAGACCACUAGAGUGGCAGGAAGUCCUGCCAACAUCUGGUCCUUCUAUUAAGAGACCCUCGAGAAUCAGAGCAGGCGACAGCAGGCAGACUCUAAAGUCCUCAGUGGGUGUCUGGUUGUGCUUGAGGGAUGAUGUUGACCCUGUUUGGCCCUCCCGAGCAGGGAAAGACAUCAAUCUAAUGUGAAGUGUUAAAGGAAGUCCUGUGAGCAUGCUGUUGUUCAAACACAGUCCAGAACCCCGGAGAGUCAUUGAACAGCUUUUAUUUAACACAGAGAGCAAAGGUGUUCCCUUUCAACUUCAACAUGGUGCUCUCAAAAAGCCCCCACCUGAGACUGAUGCACUUAGUUUCAUCCAAAAUCACUAAAUCAUGUCUGUAUACAUGGCCACAGACAGGAGGAAAGCAGUUACAUGCAUUGAAUUAUAUUAAGGAGAACCUUACAGAUAUACAUAUUACAGUUGUAGUCAAUACACAAUUGACAUCUACUUUUGAAAAGCACGUAUAAAGCAGUCUUUAAUAUAAUAUAUUAUAAUAGUUUAACAUAUUUAAUAUAAAUGUAUUAAAACUACAUAUUAUAUAAUUAGACAUUUUAAUACUUAUUUAUUUAAUGAAUGCAACUCAUUUCAUUUAGUUUAAUUAAUAACUAAUGAUCCAAAAUCACAGUAACAGCACAGCAACAUAUAGUUCCACUCCAACUCACCC